GAUGAACGCUGGCGGCGUGCCUAAUACAUGCAAGUCGAGCGGACCAAAGAGAGCUUGCUCUCUGAGGUUAGCGGCGGACGGGUGAGUAACACGUGGGUAACCUGCCUGUAAGACGGGGAUAACUUCGGGAAACCGAAGCUAAUACCGGAUGAUAAAGAGAAACGCCUGUUUCUUUUUUGAAAGUCGGCCUUGUGCUGACGCUUACAGAUGGGCCCGCGGCGCAUUAGCUAGUUGGUGAGGUAACGGCUCACCAAGGCGACGAUGCGUAGCCGACCUGAGAGGGUGAUCGGCCACACUGGGACUGAGACACGGCCCAGACUCCUACGGGAGGCAGCAGUAGGGAAUCUUCGGCAAUGGACGAAAGUCUGACCGAGCAACGCCGCGUGAGCGAUGAAGGCCUUCGGGUCGUAAAGCUCUGUUGUCAGAGAAGAACAAGUACCGGAGUAACUGCCGGUACCUUGACGGUACCUGACCAGAAAGCCACGGCUAACUACGUGCCAGCAGCCGCCGUAAGAC
rnacentral:rRNA from 1 species